CCUACGGGUGGCAGCAGUGGGGAAUAUUGGACAAUGGGGGCAACCCUGAUCCAGCCAUGCCGCGUGUGUGAAGAAGGCCCUCGGGUUGUAAAGCACUUUCAGUGAGGAAGAACGCCUGGUGGUUAAUACCCAUCAGGAAAGACAUCACUCACAGAAGAAGCACCGGCUAACUCCGUGCCAGCAGCCGCGGUAAUACGGAGGGUGCGAGCGUUAAUCGGAAUUACUGGGCGUAAAGCGCGCGUAGGUGGCUUGAUAAGCCGGUUGUGAAAACCCCGGGCUCAACCUGGGAACGGCAUCCGGAACUGUCAAGCUAGAGUGCAGGAGAGGAAGGUAGAAUUCCCGGUGUAGCGGUGAAAUGCGUAGAGAUCGGGAGGAAUACCAGUGGCGAAGGCGGCCUUCUGGACUGACACUGACACUGAGGUGCGAAAGCGUGGGUAGCAAACAGGAUUAGAUACCCGUGUAGUC
rnacentral:rRNA from 1 species